GAUGAACGCUGGCGGCGUGCCUAAUACAUGCAAGUCGAGCGAACAGACGAGGAGCUUGCUCCUCUGACGUUAGCGGCGGACGGGUGAGUAACACGUGGAUAACCUACCUAUAAGACUGGGAUAACUUCGGGAAACCGGAGCUAAUACCGGAUAAUAUAUUGAACCGCAUGGUUCAAUAGUGAAAGACGGUUUUGCUGUCACUUAUAGAUGGAUCCGCGCCGCAUUAGCUAGUUGGUAAGGUAAAGGCUUACCAAGGCCACGAUGCGUAGCCGACCUGAGAGGGUGAUCGGCCACACUGGAACUGAGACACGGCCCAGACUCCUACGGGAGGCAGCAGUAGGGAAUCUUCCGCAAUGGGCGAAAGCCUGACGGAGCAACGCCGCGUGAGUGAUGAAGGUCUUCGGAUCGUAAAACUCUGUUAUUAGGGAAGAACAAAUGUGUAAGUAACUAUGCACGUCUUGACGGUACCUAAUCAGAAAGCCACGGCUAACUACGUG
rnacentral:rRNA from 1 species